GUGAUAUGACCCCCGCAUUGUGUGUUAAAAACAGAACGCAAGUAUAGGCUGACGGUGAAACAGGCGAGUUUCCACAUUACACAAAUAACCCAGUAUACUUACCUUCAUUAUGAAUUUGAGCGCAAGAGUUCAAAAGAAUUACGUGUUCGUCCUAGAACAUUUAGAUAUUACAAUCAGAGACUACUUGUUUCAAGUAGGGGUGCUGAGCUCUGAGGACCUUAGUAACAUAGCCGCCAAGAAACCAAAUGUGACCGGCCAGAACAGGGAGCUGCUGGCUAUUCUAAAGAGGAAAGGAGAUAAUGCUUACAAAACAUUCUUCAAAGGACUCAGCUUAGGUGAUGCGAACCAAAAACAUUUGCUGAAAAUGUUGAUGGCAACACAGAGGGAUUUCCAUUUCGAGCGUCGCCGUUUACUUAUCAUGAACCUACCCGUCUAAUUCCUGUAACAUGUCCUGUACUACGUAUGCACCCAGGUCUCGCCAACAAACGAUAUUGCACUGUAACUCCCAGGGGUCGUCUGGAAAACCGGCCUCCACCACGUUGGAGCUGGGAUGGGCUGAUGCAGUACCGUGGCACCAUCAGCACCUGCAGUCUCAACCACCACAGAGGUGUACAAUACUGGGAGACACGUUCUGG